rnacentral:lncRNA from 1 species
UGAGAUGGAGGAGAAAUUAUAGCAAUUUAUCAGCUGAGAUUACAGGUGUAGACACAUGACAGCAGCAGGAACAGUUCCUAUCAAAAUUAAAGUAUUUGAAGAUUUUUCUCAGAUUUCA